GAUAAAAAAUUGAAGUUCAUCUUUCGGGACAAAACACUCAUGAUUUCAAAUUUCAGAUAGUUGAAAUGAGGGUGUCAACCAUUUAUGUUAUGUGUCAACAGUAAAAACGUCUACAUUAUAUUUGAUGAUUUUUACUUAUUACACUUCUUUGCUCUAGCGGUAGUGUUAAGUGCUUCAAGAUAUCUUUUCAGGCAGUUGAAGCCUCGCCAGGAAUUUGGAAUAAUGUUAUGAUUUUUCAAGACACUUGGAAUCUUCAUUCACGAGGUUGUAAUAGAGUCCUCGACCUGAUGAUGCGAUGAUAUUGUAAUCGCGAAACCGGUCGUCAUAAUAAAAGGAAUUUCUGGUGAAAUAAGACCUUUAUUUUCUACUGUGUUUGCUGGCAAAUACCUAUAAAAAUACAUCCCAGAACAUGGACACCAUUCUCCAAACUAUAGUUAAAAACUUAUCUGUAGUAAUUCCCAGCUUUCUCCAAUGAAAAAUGUUAAGUGCUAAAUUAUAAUAGUAUGUAAUAUAAUUUUUUAUAGAAA